rnacentral:rRNA from 1 species
CCUAGGGGUGGCAGCAGUGAGGAAUAUUGGUCAAUGGACGAGAGUCUGAACCAGCCAAGUAGCGUGAAGGAUGACUGCCCUAUGGGUUGUAAACUUCUUUUAUAGGGGAAUAAAAUGUGCCACGUGUGGGAUGUUGUAUGUACCAUAUGAAUAAGGAUCGGCUAACUCCGUGCCAGCAGCCGCGGUAAUACGGAGGAUCCGAGCGUUAUCCGGAUUGAUUUGGGUUAAAGGGAGCGUAGGGGGCUUGUUAAGUCAGUGGUGAAAGUUUGCGGCUCAACCGUAAAAGUGCAGUUGAAACUGGCAGUCUUGAGUACAGUAGCGGUGGGCGGAAUUCGUUGUGUAGCGGU